rnacentral:lncRNA from 1 species
UUUAGGUAAGUUUUCAAGAUCUACCAGCUCGACCAAUCAUCAUAUAUAUUAUAAAUAUGCUAUUAUGUCAGCAGCAAACACCUUUAGCCCCUCAACUUUAAUAAGAAACAACUUUAGCCCCUUAACUUUAUUAAUGACCUGUUUAACCCCUCAACUCUAAUAAUGACAUGUUUAACCCCUCAAAACUUAAAAAAUGACUUGUUUAGACCCUUAACUAAAACAACUUUAGGCCCUCAAAUUUAAUAAAUAAAUAACUUUAUCCCCUCAACAUUAACAAUGACAUCUUUAGCGACUUAGCUAAAUCAAACAACUUUAGCCCCUCAACUUUAAUAAUAAACAACCUCAGCCCCUCAACUUUUAAUAAUGACAUGUUUAGCCCCUUGACUAAAACAGCUUUAUCCCUUCGGCUUUACGCCCCGCUUGCGGUAUGCACAUAUAAUAAUGUAUACAUGUGUGAGGGGGGAGUGAAAGUGCACUAAUUUUAGCGUUAUUUUACUAAUUUCGUGAAAAUAACGUUAAAAGAGGGGGAUAGUUAAUCAUGCAUCAUGUGGUGGCGUUGAUAGCCGAAAGACAAGGGAGUACAUGCACUAAUCGGCCUUUCAGCCUCUCUAUUCCUACAGGGUAGAGGUAAGUCUAUCUACAUCUUACCCUCCUGAGACCCUAACUUAGCUUUGCUAUUGGUGGGAUUUACCGAGUAUGAUGAUGAUCCCUUCGACUUUAAUGACAUGUUUAACCCCUCAACUUUGAUAAUGACAUGUUUAGCCCCUUAACUAAUAAAAUCAAACAACUUUAACUCUCGUGAUUUGUUUAUUUUUAUCUAAGCUUCGAAUCCGCUGCGGAGCGUGGAUGGUAACUAACUAGUUUAAGAUAAUUAUUCAACCCAAAUCAACCUUUUUUUUUGUAAAUGAGUCAAAACUGAGUCUCAAUCUGAUUUUAAAGGAAUUGAACCAACUUACAUCAGGGACGACUGAACGAGAAAUGCUAGCAUAAAGAAGAUCAAUAGAUAUCCCUUCAAACUUAAACUUCAUAACUGGAACAUGAGCACUUGGAACUGGUUGAAGUUCAGUAACUUCCUCCUUUUUCGUCAACAUCUCAUGCAAGCCAAAGAAGAAAUCUUCCUGAAAUAUUGGAGAAAGGAGUGAAUCGUUCAGAAUAGCAUGUGUUUUUCUGAAGUACAGUUCUGGUAAGAACUCAUUGAAUAGCAAGACCGUGACAAAAGAUCACAAUUAAAGAUCAUCUAGAUCAGGCUAAAUUAUAUGAAAACUUACAUCUCGAUUGACGUAAGAUGGCCCGACACACAAGGUGUCAAUGUCUGCCCCGGGACCAUGAACCUACCACCAAAGUUGAAGAGCAAAACCAUAAAUGAUAAUAUAUUGGUUGCAAUAUAUGUGUGUGUGUAAAGUAAGUAUAAAACUAAGAAAUGACAACUGUACAUGGAUAAUAGAUCAAAAUAUAUCCGGGUCAAUACAAAAACUUUGGUAAUAGCUAAAUCGGGUUGGAUGGACACAAUAUUCUCGGUCCAAAAACAAUUUAACUUUUAACAAAAUAUUAUGCUAUAUAUGAUUACAGAAAAAUAUACUAUUUUGCUAAUAAAAUAUAUUUUUAUCCCAAUAUGAUUUCGAAGUUGUUUAUGCAAUAAAAGUACACUUGUGGUGACUUUAAACCGUUCAACCCAUAGUUGUCAAUAGCAAAUAGCUGACGACAGUGAGAGCUACCUAUAUAAUACAUAGCAAUAGCAAUGAAAUAGCGAGUGCUAUUUCAUAUUUAGCGAUACACU